rnacentral:lncRNA from 1 species
UAAGUUUAUCCUAAGGAAAGUCUCGAGUUAAAUUAAAAUUAAGUUCAGGUUUUGAUAAUGUAAUGCACAGAACAUAAAUUUUAUGGGGAAGCUGUAGCUAUCCCCAGCCAGAACAGUAUACUUUCUCACACAACUUUUUUCUGCCUUGCAUUUAGGCAUGCAAAGGAUGAAGCACCGGAGGAAAAUGUAUUGCAUUGUUUUAAAAGUGCUUAAUUUGAGGAGCUGAAACGCCUCUCUGUCACUGAAUAGUUACAGCUUUGUGUCACUCUGGAGCUGAGCUGUCCUCCAAGUGCUUUUAAAAGAAAGGGCAUAUCAUUGUCUGCACUUCUACAGGCACAUUGGCACCCGCAGUCACUCAGCAGGUCAACGUGGCCGUCAGUGCACAGACACACAGCUCCCCGUGCCGCGCCUCACGUGCAUCAGUCCUGUGCCUGCUCUGUCCCUUAGAUACUGAUUCCUCAAAAGACCAGCAAUACUGGCUAUUUUGAAAAAAAAAUAACUAGGGAGACAGUUUCACACAACCUGCAAGAAAAUUUACAUCUCUGGACUUCAGUAAGAUAGACAUCAUCUCUUUUACUUCUAGCUGACAGGUAAUUCCCAGAGAAACUUGUAGCCCUAAUCUAACUCAUAUUAAUUCUUUUACCAAAAUGUUCUGUCAUUGCCCUUUGGAAGCAGGUCAUAAGUGCUUUUGUGAGGUAAUGUUAACUUUUCCUUAGCUUAUCUGUCACUUCUAAACUGAGUUAUCGAAAUCAGCAGUGUAUCACUGAUUUUGAUAUGACUCUCAGUUAAGUAAAUUUUAUUUCUAGGUUUACCACUAGGCUGAGAUACAUCAAAUGGCCUAAAGUGACAUCGCGUUGUGUGGCUGAUGAGAAACUCUGACUAUUGUAAUUAGUAAAAUGACCUUUAAAAAUAUUCCAGAUUGCAAUUGUCUAUGGAUGGGGUGCAACAGUAAGCGCAUUAGCUGUGGUCCUUAGCCUUGGUGAACU